rnacentral:piRNA from 1 species
UGCAGGAUUAACAUCUGUCCUACUCUUGCCC